UGCGUAGGCGGCUUUUUAAGUCGGAUGUGAAAUCCCCGAGCUUAACUUGGGAAUUGCAUUCGAUACUGGGAAGCUAGAGUAUGGGAGAGGAUGGUAGAAUUCCAGGUGUAGCGGUGAAAUGCGUAGAGAUCUGGAGGAAUACCGAUGGCGAAGGCAGCCAUCUGGCCUAAUACUGACGCUGAGGUACGAAAGCGAUGGGGAGCAAACA
rnacentral:rRNA from 1 species